rnacentral:rRNA from 1 species
ACUCCUACGGGAGGCAGCAGUGGGGAAUAUUGCACAAUGGGCGCAAGCCUGAUGCAGCCAUGCCGCGUGUGUGAAGAAGGCCUUCGGGUUGUAAAGCACUUUCAGUCGUGAGGAAGGUAGUGUAGUUAAUAGCUGCAUUAUUUGACGUUAGCGACAGAAGAAGCACCGGCUAACUCCGUGCCAGCAGCCGCGGUAAUACGGAGGGUGCGAGCGUUAAUCGGAAUUACUGGGCGUAAAAGCGCAUGCAGGUGGUUUGUUAAGUCAGAUGUGAAAGCCCGGGGCUCAACCUCGGAAUUGCAUUUGAAACUGGCAGACUAGAGUACUGUAGAGGGGGGUAGAAUUUCAGGUGUAGCGGUGAAAUGCGUAGAGAUCUGAAGGAAUACCGGUGGCGAAAGGCGGCCCCCUGGACAGAUACUGACACUCAGAUGCGAAAAGCGUGGGG